GAUGUCCAAAGCCCAUUCAGAGUCACAGUGUGAGCCUGAAGUCCGUAGUAGACGACCAUCACGCCCCCCACGCCACUUGGAAGAUUAUGAGGUGGAUUACAGCGGCUUCCAGCAUUCAUAUCCACCUACUUCCAGGAUGCAAACAGAGCCUUACCGCUGGGAGUCAGGGAAUGAGGGUGCUGUCGGGAUGACACCCUUCACCAGGUGGCAUGCUACUCACCGCGGUGAUGUUACUGAGGAUACUGGAGAUCAGUAUGUACCACAAGAUGCUCAAACAGUGAUUUGGCAGCUACGAGAAGAGAACAGACGCCUGCAUAAAACCAUUGAGGACAUGAAACACAGCUCAGAAAGGGAGGAAACCGACUCAUCACAGUGUCCUGUGCCUUUUCCUCGCACUCACUCAUCGACAAAGGCAGCAAAGAAACCUUCUCCUGUCCCAACUCCACGUCUAAGCAAGUUAGCAGUAGCUCAAAUGAGUGAUCAGAUUUCUAAAGAGACUGGAAAACCAGUUAUGGAUAAAGGAAAGGAACAGUCGGAAGAUGAGGAGCUAGACUGUGAAAUUAAUUUGUCAGGUGAACUUUCAGAAAUGAAACUGCAGCCCACAUCAAAGAACAGGUAUGUGCAAUAUCAACCAAAUUCACCAAAUCCAUGUACAUUGCAAUCUCAGCACAAGAUAAGUGUACACGCUGCACAAAGCGCAAGCUAUGCACAUGACCAAAGACAUAUCCCACCAAAGCCACAAAUACGUGAUCCUUCCCCUGCAGCUGACUUUAGAUUCAGAGAACGAAUUGAUUACCACCCAAGACAACAUUUUCAUCCUAGAGACUUCGUUCAGCGCUCUCAUUCUCCUCCCACCAGAGAGAGCAUUUACAGAGGUCCGAGCCCUUCAAUACCAGACUUCACAGUGGAAGACCCACGACAGUUUGCUAGACUCAAAAUAUCUCUUGACAAUUUGCUGCCAUACGAUGCUACUGAACAGUUUAAAUAUCAAAUUCUGCUUGAGCAUCUGAAAUUCGAAGAGGCCCUUUUAAUUGCUGAUUCCUACAGCAACUCCCGUUAUCCAUACAGCCAAACAAUGCAAUCGCUGACUGAACAUUAUGGACAGCCGCAUCAAUUGGCGUUGCAGAAAAUUGCUGACUUGAUGGACGGACCAAAUAUUCGCAGUGGUGACACUCAGGCCUUUCGUAAGUUUGCCCUCAGAGUUCGAGCAUUAGUGGGUAUGCUUGACCAGCUGGAUGAGAAGGGAGCUAUUGAAUUGCAGUGUGGUUCACACGUGGCAAGACUCAUGUCUAAACUCCCUCAUGAUCUCAAGGCUAACUUCAAGAGGUAUGUUCACCCCCUCAGAAACCCAAUUCCAAACCUGCUCGACUUUUCACACUGGCUUGAGUUUGAGCUGCAGGUGCAGCCCACUGACUGUAAACUCAAUACUAGUGAAAUGAGGGGACAAAUUAGUCAGCACAAAGAAGCUCCGCGACAGCGUAAGCACACUUUUCAGUCAACAGCCAUUUUGCAUGGUGUGGAUCAGUCAGCAGACCCUCCAGCUGCAAAAUCAUCAGAAUUUCAAAACCCUGGCAAAAUUGUGUACUGUCAUUACUGUGAUAAUAAUCACCACUAUCUUAACCAGUGCAAUAACUUCACACAGCUAACCAGUGAGCUCAAAACUAACUGGAUUAAGUCAAAUAAGAGAUGUUGGAGGUGUGGACGGAAACAUCAGGCAGCCCAGUGCAGAUUGAAAGCCACAUGCAAAACUUGCAAUGGCAAACAUCUAACUGUUUUGCAUGACAUCAACAGCAAAUCAACAGAGAUGAAGCACAACCAUGAAAGAUCCCAAGAGAGUCAGAUGUUAUACCUAGAUCGUCCAGCAGGUGGUAGCCAAGUCCUUCUGAAAAUUUGUAAAGUGCUGUUGCGUAAUGGCAAAAAUUCAAUUAUGACUUAUGCUAUUUUGGACGAUGGCUCUGAACGUACAAUCCUGCUUCAUGGUGCAGCACAGCAGCUUAAACUUAAUGGACAGACUGAAGCCCUCUCUUUGAGAACGGUUCGACAUGACACCCAAGUCAUACAAGGUACAAGAGUAUCUUUCACUCUGUCCCCAGCAUUUCAGCCAAGCAAAAGGUUCAAGAUAACGGGUGCCUUUACAGCUGAGAAUUUCGGCUUGGCCAAGCAUUCACAUCCAGUUACCCUUCUGCAAAGGAAAUACCAGCAUCUCAAAGGGCUGCCUCUUCAUGCCUUUGCUCAGGUUCAGCCAUUGUUGCUUAUAGGCUCUGAUCAUCACCAUUUAAUCAUGCCCAUGGAGCCAGUUCACUUCGGCCCACCAGGCGGGCCAGCUGCUAUAAGGACCAGAUUAGGCUGGACACUGCAAGGGCCAGCCAAUGUACUCCAGCACCAAAUCCCAGAGCAUCAAUGCCUUUUCACAUCUGUGACUUCCACCUCAUCAGAGCUGUUGCAACAUGUUGAGAGACUCUGGCAGCUUGACAUACUACCAUAUCGCAAUGAGAAGGUGGUGACACGCUCACGUUGUGAUCAGGAGGCCAUCACUCUGCUUGAGACCAAGACUGUAAGGGUAAAUGUAAAUGGAGUGUUUCGUUAUGCUACACCGCUUCUGCGAAAAAGGGACAUGCCCGAAUUGAAAGCGCCUAAAGAGUCUGUUCUCCCCAACCUCAGAGCUUUAGAAAGGCGUCUCAGUAAAAGUCCCGAACAUGCAAAGGCAUAUAACCAGGAAAUUGAAAGGCUGGAUCAAUCUGGUUAUGUUGUCAAGCUGGCUGCUGAAGCAGUUGAUCACAGCCCUGAAUCAUGGUACAUACCGCACCACAUGGUACACCAUAAUGGAAAGCACAGAGUAGUGUACAACUGUUCCUUUCAUUACCAAGGCCAUAACCUCAAUGAGUACCUCCUAGCUGGGCCUACCCUCACCUCCACUUUGCUAGGAGUGUUACUCCGAUUCAGAGAGCAUGCAAUUGCCAUCACAAGCGAUAUCAAGGGCAUGUUUCACCAGAUUCGUCUGCUCCCAGAGGAUAAACCACUUCUCAGAUUUCUGUGGAGAAACAUGCAGCGUGAUACACCAGUCAGUGUCUAUGAAUGGCAGGUUUUGCCUUUUGGGACUACAUGCAGCCCGUGCUGUGCAACAUUUGCCGUCCUAAAACAUGUCCAAGAGAACACUGUUCCAGGAGAAGAGACACGUGUGGCUGUAGAAAAACAUUUCUAUGUGGACAAUUUCCUGCAGAGUGUAACUUCUAUUGACAAAGCGACUGAACUGGUGAAUAAGAUUCAAGCUCUUUUAGUUUCUGGUGGGUUCGAGUUAAGACAAUGGGCUAGCAACAUUCCUUCUGUCGUUGCACACCUUCCUGUAGAAUCCAGAUCUGAGAGAAAUGAGCUUUGGCUUACUGAAAAGGAAUGGGAUGUCUCUGUAUCCACCUUGGGUCUACAUUGGCUUUGCCAAGCAGACACACUUGGUUACAAAGCUCGUCUGAAGGAACCACAAGUUCCUACAAUGAGGUAUGUCUAUCAGGUCGUAGCUAGUCAGUAUGACCCACUUGGCUACAUUAUCCCCUUCACAACCAGAGCCAAAGUACUGAUACAAAGACUGUGGGAUAAAAAACGAGAGUGGGAUGACCCAUUGCUACCAAGUGACCUCUUGCAAGCCUGGCUUGAAUGGGAAGCAGAAUUGCAGUACCUGAACAAGAUUGCUAUACCACGAUGCUACACUAGUACAGAACUGGAUUCUAAAGUGUGCAAAAGAGACAUCCACAUAUUCUGCGAUGCUUCUAAUAAUGCGUAUGGGUCAGUGGCGUAUCUUAGAACAGAGAGUCCUCAAGGCCAAGUCGAGGUUGCAUUUAUCACAGCAAGAUCAAGGGUGGCACCAAAGCGGCAGUUAUCUGUUCCCCGGCUAGAACUCUGUGCAGCACUUAGUGGGGCUCAAUUGGCAAGACUUCUGGAAAAGGAACUCACCCUGAACAUUCAACAGGUGACAUUGUGGAGUGACUCAAAGACAGUUUUAUCUUGGAUUCAAUCAGAUUCAUGCAGAUAUAAAGUGUUUGUUGGCACAAGGAUUGCAGAAAUUCAGGAACUGACUGCUUCUCAGGCAUGGCAUUAUGUGAAGUCUGAAAACAAUCCUGCAGAUGACAUUACCCAUGGUAAAACACUUCACCAACUCUCAGUGCCAAGUCACUGGAAACAAGGACCACAUUUUUUGUGGCAAGACCCAAGUACCUGGUCUAAUGACACGGAGGAAUUGGUCACAGACAGUACAGAUGAAGAGGAGAAAGUUACCUUCUGCAGCCUGACCACAGUAGAUUUCUCCGACAUCAUGCAAGAAUUCUCAUCAUACCACAGUUUUGAUCAACUGGUGGAACAUGAAGCACAGAAACAAUUAAAACAAGCCAAUCGGACAAGAGAUUUAUCCGCCCAAGACUACGUAGCUGCUGAGAUAUCACUCUUUAAACAAGCCCAAGCUAUGUGUUUCCCAGUUGAACUUGAUACAUUAACAUGUGGUAAAUCUUUGCCUCCCAACAGCAGAUUAGUCUCACUUGCACCGGAGAUUGACCAAUCUACUGGGCUCAUAAGAGUUGGUGGCCGUUUGCGACGUAGUGAGCUGCUUAGGCCAGAUACUGUCCAUCCAAUUGUCAUUGAUCCCAAACACCCACUCAGUCAACUCCUGAUCCAACAUUAUGAUGAAAAACUUCAUCAUCCUGGCCCAGAAAGAGUAUUUGCUGAGUUACGCCGUAAAUACUGGAUCAUCAGAGGGCGAGAAGCAGUACGGCGGCACCAACAUCAGUGUCGUGAAUGCAAAAAAUGGCGUGGAAAGCCUGAAGUGCCAAAAAUGGCUGAUUUACCACCAGCCCGACUCCGUCUCUACCGCCCAGCUUUUUAUUCGACAGGUGUUGAUUGUUUUGGGCCUUAUACAAUCAAAGUAGGCCGGCGCAAUGAAAAACGGUGGGGGAUCAUAUUUAAAUGUAUGACGACCAGAGGAGUCUACAUUGAUUUACUUCCUAAAAUUGAUACAGAUUCAUUCCUCAUGGCCCUACGCAGAUUCACUGCACGCAGAGGAACUCCCCAUGAACUCUAUUCUGACCGGGGAACCAACUUCAAGGGAGGAGAAAGGGAACUAUCAGAAGCAUUUGCGGCCAUGCAACCCAAUCUGCAAAGUCAGCUUGCAAAGCAGAAAAUUCAGUUUAAAUUCAAUCCCCCUGGAGCUCCUCAUUUUGGUGGACUAUGGGAGAGGGAGAUCAGGUCUCUAAAAUCUGCUCUCAAUGUUA
ensembl:lncRNA